UCACACCCUGUUCCUUAACUGUUUGUGAAAUUGUUGUACCCUGUGCCUCUUUCAAGCCUUAUUUUGUGUUCAGAGUAGUUUGACCAGUCUGCCUGCUUUUUGGAUUUUUGUUUGAGCCUCAUGUUUCAGACACUGUUGCUGAUAAUGGCCUGCCUUUCUGUGUACCGAACCCUGCCUGACUCAAGAUUAAACUCUGAAGCUUUAACGACCGAAUCCCACAUUUGUGUCCUACCGCCACG